AUGGAGUGGCAGAUGUUCCCGGAGACUGCGAUGCCGCUGCCCGAGGGCUCCAUGCACGCAGCCAGCACGGUGGUGGAUGGGUUUAUCUGUUGGGAAUUCGUGUCCCUGAAUGAGGUAUCUCUCAGCGAGUACAUUUUGGUGCUCAACACGGAUACCUUUCAGUUCUCUCGAAUUGAUCUGCCGCCGUCCUUGAGAGUGGUAUACCCAAAAUUUAAGAUUGGUCAGACCAAGGAUCGGAACCUCUGUAUCGUCAUUGAGAAGGAUUGCAUGCUUUUUCUUUGGAUCUGCACAGCCGGUGAUGAUGGCGUCCAGAGAUUUGUGCUGCACAGUACGUUCCCGUUGCACGCUAGAUUUAUGGAGGUCACCAGCUGUUCAGUGGAAGAUAAAUUCUCUGUGCAGCUUAUGACGGUCUUCAAUGGCUUUGUGUACCUUUCUAUUUGCCCCUGGAAGAAUUUCAGGGAUAAGUACAAAUCCCCUGAGUGGUUCAUGUCCUUCUCUCUGGAAACAGCGGAGCUGAACCAGCAUUUUAAGAACAGAAAGCGAAUUGGCUGCCCUGUCCAUCCCUAUUUGGCCUGGCCUCCUUUAGUAGACAAGACAACACGGUGGAUUCGGAAUAUGAAGUUACUGGAAACAGUAUUGGAAGUGCUGGUCCUGAGAGCACAGAGAAGGGUUCAUCUUUUCUUAUAA
rnacentral:rRNA from 1 species